CCCGAGGCCAGUGGUGGUGUGCGCCUGCGCAAUCCCUUGUUGACAUGCGCAUGCGCAGUCCAGAGUCGGUGUGCGUGUGCGCGAGGCCGCCUCAGGUGAGUCCGUGUCCGCCCACACGGGGAAGCUGAGGCUCAGGGCAGAGGGGUGUGUGAGGGGACGCAGUGAGGGCGCCUCCCCCGGGAGUCAGGGCAGGCGGCAGGGAGGGGGCGGCGCAGGUCCUGGGAGGCCUCAGGGCCCCGCAGCGGGUGGUCGGGUCAGGGAAGCUGUGGCUGAGGGGCGUGGGAGCGGCGUCCGCGGCGGAGGGGGCGUCCGGGCCUCCCCCGCCCUGGGUCAGGCCCCGGGACCUCCGGGCCGGGCGGGAGCGGGGCUGUGCCCACCUGCGUCCUCCGGAAGUGGCCGGGCUGCGACCCCACAGGAGGGGCUGAGGGCGGGGACGACCCCACCCCGGGGCGCAUCAGCCCACCUGAGGGGCGGCUCCGGGAGGCCCGUGUCCUUGGUGCUGGGUCCUGGCCCUGGGAGAGGAGGGCGGAGCCGGCUGACAGGGCGGGGCGGGGCCCCAUCCCUGCAGGGCGUCUGUGCCCCCAUCCUGGGGACUGAGGGCCUGGCUGGGGUGGGGCGGUGCCCCUUCCUGUGGGGUGUGGACGGAACAGCCCUGCGAUGCUGGGAGGACCCGGCCUCCGAGCGUCCACACCCGGUGUGUGUCCGUGCCGCAGGCGCUGUGCCAGAGCCGGCGAAGAGGCCGCCAUGACCCCGCCCUCGUGGUCCUGCUCUGCCUGGGGGAGACGGGAAGACGGGGAGGGGAGACCCUGCUCUGGGAGGGACCCCGCCCCCACCCACAGCCAGGCCCUGCUCCCUGGAGACCCCAGGCUCAGGCGCCCCGGGGAGGAGAGGACCUGCGCAGGGGCAGGGGAAACCCUCUCACGGGGAGCUCUCCUCCAGGGCUGUGCGGGCCCAGGACCAGAGUGCAGGCAGGGACCCUCCCCAGACCCAGCGUCCGGGCUGAGCCAGGCUCUGUGAUCGCCCUGGGCAGGCCUGGGGCCCUGUGGUGUUGGGGACCCUGGAGGCCCAGGAGUGCCGUCUGUAUAGAGAGGGAAUCCCAGAGCCCUGGGACAGAGCGAUGCCCCUGGAGCCCGGAAACAAGGUCAAGUUCCCCACCCUCUCAUGGCCGAGGUGUACGCAGGGCGCUACCGCUGUGUCUGCCUCAGCGCUGCUGGCUGCUCAGAGCCCAGUGCCGCCCUGGAGCUGGGGUGACAGUGAGGAAGCCACACCCGAGCAGGAGCUGGGGGGACCGGAGCCCAGCAGCCCCUCGCACCCCCAACCAGGCUCCCCCGCUGGUGAGUGAGCUACAGGCUGGACUCAGGGCUCAGGACUCAGGCUGCUGCGGGGAGGUGGGGUCCUGGGUGACUGGGUCUGCCCCUCCUCGGUGACCCCUCCGUGCACGC